rnacentral:rRNA from 1 species
AAUUAGUGGCAGACGGGUGAGUAAUGCAUAGGAAUCUACCUAGUAGUAUAGGAUAGCCACUAGAAGUGGUGGGUAAUACUGUAUAAUCCCUGCGGGGGAAAGAUUUAUCGCUACAUGAUGAGCCUAUGUUAGAUUAGCUAGUUGGUGGGGUAAUGGCCUACCAAGGCAGUGAUCUAUAGCUGGUCUGAGAGGAUGAUCAGCCACACUGGAACUGAGACACGGUCCAGACUCCUACGGGAGGCAGCAGUGGGGAAUAUUGGACAAUGGGCGCAAGCCUGAUCCAGCUAUGCCGCGUGAGUGAGGAAGGCCUUAGGGUUGUAAAACUCUUUCAGUGGGGAAGAUAAUGACGGUACCCCCAUAAGAAGACCCGGCAAACUCCGUGCCAGCAGCCGCGGUAAUACGGAGGGGGCAAGCGUUGUUCGGAAUUAUUGGGCGUAAAGGGCAUGUAGGUGGUUUGGUUAGUUAAAGGUGAAAUGCCAGGGCUUAACCCUGGAGCUGCUUUUAAUACUGC